UUCCAACCCUGAUAUUCUAUGAUUCAAGUGAUUGUCAGCAGAAUACUUCCAGUCCCAAAGUGAAAGUAUGAUAAGGUACUGAAGAUAACUAAAGGAUUUGGUGCUAAUGGAUUAGGACCAUUGAAAGGCAUUAACUGAAAGAAGACUUCUCAACUGAUGGCCUUCACUUGAGUACCUGAAGUAUUAAUCUUCUACUAACAAGGAUGUCAUGAUUGAUAAGAAGGACUGUAAGAGAUGAGGGGAGAAGGCUGGGAUAGAAAUCUCCACUCCUGAUUUCAGUACACAGGAAAAUCAGCUAAAUGAAGACACAACAGAGCACCACGAGCUAGAAAACUGGGUGAGAGUCGAAAGAAACAACUGAAAUGCUUGUACAUGAAUGCAAGAAGUCUGGGCGAGAAACUGGAACAACUGGUGCAGGAGGCCUAACCAGAUAUUGUAGGGAUUGCAGAAACAUGGUGGAGUAACACUCAGGACUGGAAUACAUCUUAUUGAAGGAUAUGCUGUUUAGAGGAGAUAGAAAUAAAGUAAAGAUGACAAUAUGUAACAUAUGCAUGAAGGCAGUACGGCUGAUGGAAAUGAGUGUCAUGAAAUGGAAAUUACCACAUCUGAGGUGGAAGAAAAACUUGAGGAGCUUAAUGCACUCAAGUUGCAGUGACCAGAUAAUUUUCAUCCCCGAUUACUGAAAGAAGUGACACAUGAGAUUGCUAGUCUUGUUACUGUAAGAGAUUGUUUGUGUGAAUAAGGAAUGUAUGCAUCAGGAAAAGAGAAGGUGUGAAGGCCAUUGUUAUAGCCAAAUGGUCAAGGAAGAAGGAGUGAAGAGACUUAAAGGACAUCAAAGAAUCAUCAACACGCAUCCAUAAUGAAGGGCAGAUUGAGGACCCUGAGGUGAAGGCUGGCACCCCUAAGGACAAUUGAUUAAAUUGGAACAAAGGACAGGACCCUCUUGGAGGUGUAUUGGAAUGGUUACACCAAUUAAGAAGUAACCGGUCACAAACUGACGCAGCAAAAUCCAUAGACUUCAACAGAGGAAAAAACCCUAUAAGAACAGGGUGCUUGGUCAUGGGACUUUGGGUUCAUCUUGCCACUCCAGGAGCAUCGGAUCACGACUGACAAGAUCCCAGCUCCACACUCGUGCUCAAUCUAACUGGCCAUUAGAUUGACUCGAGCUACAACAGACUGGUAACUAUGAACAUCACUGGCAGGACUGUGUGUGUGACUGAAAAGCAUAU